rnacentral:rRNA from 1 species
GACGAACGCUGGCGGCGUGCUUAACACAUGCAAGUCGAACGGAAAGGCCCUGCUUUUGUGGGGUGCUCGAGUGGCGAACGGGUGAGUAACACGUGAGUAACCUGCCCUUGACUUUGGGAUAACUUCAGGAAACUGGGGCUAAUACCGGAUAGGAGCUCCUGCUGCAUGGUGGGGGUUGGAAAUUUUCGGUGGUUGGGGUUGGACUCGCGGCUUAUCAGCUUGUUGGUGGGGUAGUGGCUUACCAAGGCUUUGACGGGUAGUCGGCCUGAGAGGGUGACCGGCCACAUUGGGACUGAGAUACGGCGCAGACUGCUACGGGAGGCAGCAGUGGGGAAUAUUGCACAAUGGGCGGAAGCCUGAUGCAGCAACGCCGCGUGCGGGAUGACGGCCUUCGGGUUGUAAACCGCUUUCGCCUGUGACGAAGCGUGAGUGACGGUAAUGGGUAAAGAAGCACCGGCUAACUACGUG